rnacentral:rRNA from 1 species
AGAGCGAACGCUGGCGGCAGGCCUAAAACAUGCAAGUCGAACGGACCCUUCGGGGUUAGUGGCGGACGGGUGAGUAACACGUGGGAACGUGCCUUUUGGUUCAGAACAACUCAGGGAAACUUGAGCUAAUACUGAAUAAGCCCUACGGGGGAAAGAUUUAUCGCCAUUAGAGCGGCCCGCGUUGGAUUAGCUAGUUGGUGAGGUAAAGGCUCACCAAGGCUACGAUCCAUAGCUGGUCUGAGAGGAUGAUCAGCCACACUGGGACUGAGACACGGCCCAGACUCCUACGGGAGGCAGCAGUUAGGAAUCUUGCGCAAUGGGCGAAAGCCUGACGCAGCCAUGCCGCGUGAAUGAUGAAGGUCUUAGGAUUGUAAAAUUCUUUCAGCGGGAAGAUAAUGACUGUACCCGCAGAAGAGCUCCGGCUAACUUCGCGCCAGCAGCCGC